rnacentral:lncRNA from 1 species
GAAUGGCCACAGGUAAGGCUGUUGAUUUGUAUGAUCUUUCGCAGAGGCACCUUCUGUGAGUCUACUCAGUUUUCCAGAAGGGAAAAAGGCGAGAGCUGAGUUUAGACCUGGACACCUUUCUAAAUAUCAUAGAGCAAAAGUAAAUUGCCCCAUUAAGGCUUGCACAUUACACUUAGGGUAAGUACUGUUCAACUUUCCUUUUUUAUAGGAGUUGCCUGCCUUAACUUUUCAGCUUAAUACGAGCAGCGUAAAUUAAGAAAAAAAAUUAACUCAAUCAGUUAUUUCACUGAAAUAGAAAAUUUGCAGAUUUUAAAGGGUAUCUAUUGUGCAUAAAUUUGGGGAUACGAGAAUUUGCCAGUGAAAUGAUAGCAGCUCUGUGCUUACAGAGCAAAGAUGUGCUAGUCUGAACAUGCCUGAUCUCAUCUGGAAUCGAAAGCUAAAUCUAGGUGGGCCUGUAAUAAUACCAGAAAAGGAACACAUGUAUCUUUUGUGCAACCUUUUUUUUUUUUUUUUUUUAAAGCUAGGCUUCCAAAGGGAAUGACAAAGAAGCAGGUUCUCCUCUUGCUUAAUAAGUAGUCAUAGUUUGCCUCUGGAGAUAUGUAUUUCCAGUUGUUUUAGUUGUUUUGUUUUGUUUUGUUUUGUUGUUGUCAUCGCUAUCGAAGAAUAUUCUUUCCUGUCAGUGAUUAUUAACACUUUCCGUUUUUCAGAAUGCUUUAACUCUGUUUGAUGUUUCCUCACUUGGUUACCUUUCUCAAGUCUGCGAUGACCCUCUCAGGCUUUGCCAUUCUUAUCGAUUCUUACCAGAAUGUACUUACUCAUUAGCUGUUUUGUUAUAGUUAUGGUGGAGAUAAUCUUGUUUUUCAGGCUUUUAUAACUAACCAAACAAAUUACCUUUUGAGGUGAAAUUUCUCAUAGUUAUCCUUGACACAGAACUGAACUUGUCUUGAAAAGGCUUGAAGAAAAUCCAAUUAGCCGUUUUUUGAGAACUGAAUAUUCUAAUAAAUGCAAAUGGAUUAUUUUACAAAAUACUUAUUGAUGUGCAAUGCUUUUCUAAUCUGUUUUUCUUUUCGUGCUUUAAAACAGACCCUGAAAAUUAAAUGUAUUAAAAAGAAAGAAAGAAAAAGAAAGAAACCUGCCAGGUUAAUACUGAUAUUUUAAAUACCCAAUUUAAAAUAAUGCUCAAAGUUUGAAUUUCUUUGCAACAUAUCACCUUUCAGUGUCAGUCAGUAAUACCUGGGCAGGUAUAUAUAUACAUUCACACCCACAGGGAAACAUGAAUCCACUUUACAGUUACAUUAAUUCUAUUUUAACCUACAAGAGAAAAGGUUAGCAUUACUGUAAAACUUUUGUUAAUUCAUUAUAUUUUAUUUUUCUGUAAUAAAAAAUUCACUGAACUAUUGCUUUCAUCCAAUUAUAUAUAUACUUAACACCCAUUUAUAUUCAAAUAUUUUAUCUUAAUUUAUGAAGUAUUUUUAUAAGUCUUAUAUGCUGCUGAAUUUUAUGCAGCUAUAUGAACGUUUAAGUUUUUUCUGAUACAAUUUGCUUUGUUCCGAAUCUGUUACUGUGUUAGAAGUUUUUUUCUUUCCCAAUCUAGAAAGAGUAUGGCCAUCUUUUCCUAUAUGUGAUAUCUAUACAUCUUCAGUAUUCUGAAGAAGAGAUUUUUUAACCUGCAAUCUCUUGGAAAGCUUUCAAACAAGUGGGAGAAGUAAUCUUUACUUUGCUUCUCCUUGAUCCAUCUGUUUGCCCUCACUGUACCACCCGUCACCACCAGCAACCCUGAAAAAAACAACAGUAAUAAAUAUGAUACGAUAAUUUUUCUGAUCACAGAACCAGGAAAUACCAGAGAAAAUUGUGGCAUAUGUAGGAAAAUGCCAAGAGCUUCUCCAGUAAGAUCAGCUGUUUUUAUACUUUUUUUUUUUCCUCUUGAAUUUUGUUUGUGACUUUUUUGGCUUGCUGAAGCACAUCCCCAUAAUCUUACGAAGCCACAGCAAAUUCCCAAUGCCACAACAAUACUGUGCAGCCGGGGAGAGGCCAGAAGAGCUGAUCCUGGGUGGCUGCAGGCUUCCCCAGCAAUGGUGCAAGGCAGGAGGAUGUGUAAUCUGGUCUAAAUUUGAAGAAGAGGGCAAGUAUAGCAUUUUUAUCUAGCUUGAAUAUGGCAUGGUAAUUCUGUAUUAAUGAGGUCAAUGGUAAAUGCAGUUCAGCUACACAUUUCUGUUUUUCCAGACAUACAAACACAUUCUGUGGAAAUAGAAAAUGUCUAAAAAAUGGAAAUGAUGAAAUAACUUGAGACAUGACAAAUCGCUUAACCUAUCUGUGUAAUAGUGUAUUUGUCAAAUAAAUAGAAAACCAUCUAUCCUCAUCUACUUCACAGCAGUAUUGCUAAGGCUGAUUGUGCACACAUAUAUUAAUGUAUAUAUCGUAGCUAUCUAUUUACAGCAGGGGAGAAUGGUUUUAAAAUAAAUGAAUCAGAGUUUUAUGUGUGCAUCCAUUGUGAAGAAUUCAGUUGUGUCCUUACCGUAGGAAGACAGGGUUAACUGAGAGUUUUGAGAGUUGUGGUAUGUGCUUUUCCAUUUGGGUCUGGG